UACGAACUGUGCGAACGUUAUUCGGAAUCACUGGGCUUACAGGGUGCGUAGGCGGCUCGUUAAGUAGGGUGUGAAAGCCCCCGGCUCAACCGGGGAAUUGCGCCCUAAACUGGCGAGCUGGAGUGAGAUAGGGGUGUGUGGAACUUCCGGUGGAGCGGUGAAAUGUGUUGAUAUCGGAAGGAACGCCGGUAGCGAAAGCGACACACUGGGUCUUGACUGACGCUGAGGCACGAAAGCCAGGGGAGCGAACGGG
rnacentral:rRNA from 1 species